ACUACUAGCUACAUAUGACUUGAGCUCUUGAAAUGUGGCUAGUGCACCUCAUGAACUCAAUUUUUAAGAUAGUAUUUAAUUUAAUUUUAAUUAGCCACAUGUAGCUAGUGGCUAUCAAAUCCUAUUUAACAGCACAGUUCUGUACAACCAAAGUCUAGUUCUUCCUGGGGCCCUUGGGAGUAGCAAGUCCAAGGGGGAGGAUAAAAACAGAAAUGAAACAAUUUUCUUUUUCCAGCUGGGAGCGGUAGGCUGUAAGGUAAUAUUUUUAGACAUAAAAGGAGAAAAUAUUUUAUUUUUAAAAUCUGACCAAAAUGAUCUUGAGCCACCUAUCACUUCUGAUACACGUGGAUCACACGGGUGACGAGACAGGAGAAAACUAGGGGAAACAAGUUAGAAAAUAAACUGUAUUACCUUCUCCUAUCAAAAAAGGUCUGGGGCUAGAGCUGGAGCCUCAAAAUAGGAGGGAUAAUAAAUAUAGGGUUUUACUUUGUGCCUGACUUUUUGAAAAUGGGAUGGGGGGCAAAACCUAGUAUUGAAGCAGGUAAGUGGGUUCUUUCCGUGUUACAGCAGAUGAGGGUGAUGAGGAGCUCUUGGAGUCCUGGAAGAGAGAGCAGCCUGUGCUGACAGAGUUAAUGAGAGGACAGAUCUAGGAGUAACAGGGUCUGAGGAGAGGAGAUGGCCUCCCAGACCAUGAGAACUAACAGUUGUGAUAAAUUUAAUCAUAGUCUGUCCAAACCAGAGAGUCCUCAAGUGUGGUAUGAGAAUCCUGGGUGUGGGGCAGUGAGCUCAUUUCUGCUCUUGAGAAGUGUAGGAGAUGCAGCAAGGUUCCUGCUAUCAGGAGACCUGCAAAGAUGGAAGGAAACGUUCCUCUAAGUUAUUACUUGUCUCACCUCCUCCCUCCCCCAAAGGAAGGGGAAAGAUAGACACCUCGGGGAUUUGAAUUAGAAAUAGCCCUUUGGAGGGUUUUCUUUAAGAACAAGGAGGCUUAUCCUCUAUAGCGAUUCCCCCUGCUGAGGUUUGUGCUUAGGCCUUCCUAGCUUUCUCGUCUCAUCUUUUUUCUUUUUUUUUUUGAGUUUUGCCCUUGUCGCCCAGGCUCUGGAGUGCAGUGACACGACCUCGGCUCACUGCAACCUCCACCUCCCAGGUUCAAGCAGUUCUCCUGCCUCAGCCUCCAGGGUAGCUGGGAUUACAAGCAUGUGCUACCACGCCCAGCUAAUUUUUUUAUAUUUAAAAAAAUUAAAAUGUAAUUUUAAUUGUUGGCCAGGCUGGUCUCGAACUCCUGACCUCAGGUGAUCUGUCCACCUCGGCCUCCCAAAGUGCUGGGAUUAUAGGCAGGAGCCACCACGCCCAGCCAUCUCCCCUCAUCUUAAGGGACCGAGAUCCCAACUUAGAGCCCUUUGGUUGACAAUUCCAGCUGGCAGUAAGCAGAGUCCUACAAAGAUAAGGAGGGAUCCAGGUGGCCUGGAGAGGAUCCAUGGAGCUCACAUCCCCAUGCUACUUUAAAUCCUUUGACAAGGAGGCUAGAAGCUUGACUUCUCCCUGCAUUUCUUUUUUUUUUUCUUUUUUUGAGAUGCAGUCUCCCUCUGUUGCCCAGGCUGGAGUGCGGUGACGCAAUCUCGGCUCACUGCAACCUCUGCCUCCUGGGUUCAAGUGAUUCUCCUGCCUCAGCCUCCCAAGUAGCUGGGAUUACAAGCAUGCACCACCACGCCCAGCUAAUUUUUGUAUUUUUAGGAGAGACAGGGUUUUGCCAUGCUGGUCAGGCUGGUCUUGAACUCCUGACCUCAAGUGACCCACCUGCCUUGGCCUCCCAAAGUGCUGGAAUUACAGGCAUGAACCACCGCGCCCGGCCAUCCCUGCAUUUAUUAUAGUCCUGUCUGGACCAUCCCCUUUCCACAGCCUCUGACUCUGUAUCUGCCAAAGCACCCAGGCCUAGCCCACAGUCCAUCUCCCAAGGAAGCCCCGGCCAAAGCCUCCACUGGGUGGUGAGAAUGCAACACUUAGCAGAAACAGAGCAGUCCUUGUGAGGAGACACCUGAGGGAUAAGAAGAACCAGUAUACACUACACCACCGCUGUGAAAGCAUGAAACAAAUGUGACCUAGACCUGAGGGUCCCAGAGGCUUCCCUGAACAGGCAACCUAAGCUGAGACCCCAAGAAAGCUUAGAUUGAACCGAGAGGGUUGGGGAGGGAUGUGAUGGGCCUUCCAGGCAGAACAAUGUGUGUUCUGUGUGGGAGAGAACUAAUGAGUUUGGAGGAAGAGCGGAGGCCCAGUCUGGCCACAAACACAAGAGUAUGGGACACGCCAGAGGAAGCCACACGGAUUUUGCAGGGAGACAGUAAGGAUUUUGCUCAUCAUCUUAAAGUACGUAAAGUACGUGGGAAAGCCUCCUGCACAGAGUUUUAGCUGGCAGUCAGCAGGCCCUCUGGUCCUGGCCACGCACCUUUCCCUCAGCCUCGCCUCAGCAUUCAAGGGAAAACCUGCCACCGCGCAAGCCCUCCAGGGUCUGGAAUGCUGGCAGGAGGGGAUGGAUGCCUCUGCUCCUGGAGAAAAGGGCUCUGGCAGGGAAGCCUGAGGGGCUGGUUCCAACUGUACAGGUCCUGUGGACUCCUCAGAAAAGGAAUGGUGAGAUGGAUUUUCAUAGGAGAGCCUCUCCAAUUUCUCCUUGGGACGACGGGGUUUCACCGUGUUAGCCAGGAUGGUCUCGAUCUCCUGACCUCGUGAUCCGCCCGCCUCGGCCUCCCAAAGUGCUGGGAUUACAGGCGUGAGCCACCGUGCCCGGCCUCUCCUUGGGACUCUUACCUUGUAUGGAAUGGAAGUGGUGCCUCUGGGGUCCCAGACACGGGAGAGAGGAAGCAGCCCAGGGGCUGGGAGAAGUGGUGAGACCCAGAAGAACGGUGGACCCAGUCAGGAAGGGUCCUGCCAGCAGGGCGUGGGCCAGCCUCGGGGUCUUCCCCAAAAGGCAGGUAGGGGCCUCCAGCAAGCUUCCCACCUCCGUGAGGCUGGAGAAGAGGCCCCCUGGAUGAGAAGGAAGAGGCCGGCAGGUCCGGCGGGCGCAGGCACAGGGUCCUCAACCCGGGAACCCCUCGCACCGCGAAUCUCAGUCCACAGCGGGAGGCGGGUGUGGUCGUUCACCUAUUUGUGCCCGAGGGCUCAGGGAGGCGCUGGCAUGACCCGAGUGGGGGGCAGCAAGCUGGUUAGCGGGAGGGUGAAGGCAGCGGUCUUCCACGACCACCACAAUCACCUGGGUAGGGAUUGAGUCCCGUAUUGGAAAAGCGAAAGAACAGUCAGCUGGGGGUGCCAAGGAGGCAGGUGAUGUAUACAAACCUGGAGCCUUAGGAUGGUCCACAGGCUGCGGAGGACCACAGCCAGGACAACGUCCCGGAAAGCCCAAGGGAGACUGCGGCGGAAGGCAGGGGAACC
rnacentral:lncRNA from 1 species